UGUGUCUCACCUUGAUGAAGGCGUACCCAGCCCCACUGUCAGUGAUGGUCAGCCCCAGUGCUGGUACUGGGAUGUACCCAGGUGUUCCCAGGUGUAUCCCCAUGUACCCAGGUGUCCCCAGGUGUGUUCCCAGGUGUGUCUCACCUUGAUAAAGGCGUACCCAGCCCCACUGUCAGUGAUGGUCAGCCCCAGCGCUGGUACUGGGAUGUACCCAGGUGUGUUCCCAGGUGUUUCCAGGUGUAUCCCCAUGUACCCAGGUGUCCCCAGGUGUGUUCCCAGGUGUGUCUCACCUUGAUAAAGGCGUACCCAGCCCCGUUGUCAGUGAUGGUCAGCCCCAGCACUGGUACUGGGAUGUACCCA